ensembl:lncRNA
AAAGGAUGGAGACAGGUUAAAGGAUGGAGACAGGUUAAAGGAUGGAGACAGGAUAAAGGAUGGAGACAGGUUAAAGGAUGGAGACAGGUUAAAGGAUGGAGACAGGGUAAAGGUAGGAGCCAGGGUAAAGGAUGGAGACAGGUUAAAGAAAGGAGGCAGGGUGAAGGAAGGAGGUAGGAGACAGGUUAAAGGAUGGAGACAGGUUAAAGGAUGGAGACAGGUUAAAGGAUGGAGACAGGAUAAAGGAUGGAGACAGGUUAAAGGAAGGAGACAGGAUAAAGGAUGGAGACAGGUUAAAGGAAGGAGACAGGAUAAAGGAUGGAGACAGGAUAAAGGAUGGAGACAUGUUAAAGGAUGUAGACAGGUUAAAGGAUGGAGACAGGUUAAAGGAGGGAGACAGGAUAAAGGAGGGAGACGGGAUAAAGGAGGGAGACAAGGUAAAGGAGGGAGACAGGGUGAAGGAAGGAGACAAGGUAAAGGAGGGAGACAGGGUGAAGGAGGGAGACAAGGUAAAGGAGGGAGACAGGGUGAAGGAAGGAGACAAGGUAAAGGAGGGAGACAGCUUAAAGGAGGGAGACAAGGUAAAGGAGGGAGACAGGGUGAAGGAAGGAGACAGGAUAAAGGAAGGAGACAGGUUAAAGGAAGGAGACAGGGUGAAGGAUGGAGACAGGAUAAAGGAUGGAGACAGGUUAAAGGAUGGAGACAGGUUAAAGGAUGGAGACAGGUUAAAGGAGGGAGACGGGUUAAAGGAGGGAGACGGGAUAAAGGAUGGAGACAGGUUAAAGGAUGGAGACAGGUUAAAGGAUGGAGACAGGUUAAAGGGUGGAGACAGGAUAAAGGAUGGAGACAGGUUAAAAGAUGGAGACAGGUUAAAGGAUGGAGAGAGGAUAAAGGAUGGAGACAGGGUAAAGGUAGGGGACAGGAUAAAGGAUGGAGACAGGUUAAAGGAUGGAGACAGGUUAAAGGAUGGAGACAGGUUAAAGGAUGGAGACAGGAUAAAGGAUGGAGACAGGUUAAAGAAUGGAGACAGGAUAAAGGAUGGAGACGGGUUAAAGGAUGGAGACAGGUUAAAGGAUGGAGACAAGUUAAAGGAUGGAGACAAGUUAAAGGAUGGAGACAGGUUAAAGGAUGGAGACAGGUUAAAGGAUGGAGACAGGAUAAAGGAUGGAGACAGGUUAAAGGAUGGAGACAGGAUAAAGGAUGGAGACAGGUUAAAGGAUGGAGACAGGUUAAAGGAUGGAGACAGGGUAAAGGUAGGAGCCAGGGUAAAGGAUGGAGACAGGUUAAAGAAAGGAGGCAGGGUGAAGGAAGGAGGUAGGAGACAGGUUAAAGGAUGGAGACAGGUUAAAGGAUGGAGACAGGUUAAAGGAUGGAGACAGGAUAAAGGAUGGAGACAGGUUAAAGGAAGGAGACAGGAUAAAGGAUGGAGACAGGUUAAAGGAAGGAGACAGGAUAAAGGAUGGAGACAUGUUAAAGGAUGUAGACAUGUUAAAGGAUGUAGACAGGUUAAAGGAUGGAGACAGGUUAAAGGAGGGAGACAGGAUAAAGGAGGGAGACGGGAUAAAGGAGGGAGACAAGGUAAAGGAGGGAGACAGGGUGAAGGAAGGAGACAAGGUAAAGGAGGGAGACAGGGUGAAGGAGAGAGACAAGGUAAAGGAGGGAGACAGGGUGAAGGAAGGAGACAAGGUAAAGGAGGGAGACAGCUUAAAGGAGGGAGACAAGGUAAAGGAGGGAGACAGGGUGAAGGAAGGAGACAGGAUAAAGGAAGGAGACAGGUUAAAGGAAGGAGACAGGGUGAAGGAUGGAGACAGGAUAAAGGAUGGAGACAGGUUAAAGGAUGGAGACAGGUUAAAGGAUGGAGACAGGUUAAAGGAGGGAGACGGGUUAAAAGAGGGAGAUGGGAUAAAGGAGGGAGACAAGGUAAAGGAGGGAGACAGGGUGAAGGAGGGAGACAAGUUAAAGGAGGGAGACAAGGUAAGGAGGGAGACAGGGUGAAGGAAGGAGUCAGGAUAAAGGAAGGAGACAGGUUAAAGGAAGGAGACAGGUUAAAGGAAGGAGACAGGAUAAAGGAUGGAGACAGGUUAAAGGAUGGAGACAGGUUAAAGGAUGGAGACAGGAUAAAGGAUGGAGACAGGUUAAAGGAUGGAGACAGGAUAAAGGAUGGAGACAGGUUAAAGGAUGGAGACAGGUUAAAGGAUAG